rnacentral:rRNA from 1 species
GGCGAUGGAGUUGCUGCGGUAAGAUCGUCGUUGGAUUUCUGUUGAGGUCGAACAGUGCCGCCCUAUGGGUGCGCAACUGGCUCGGCUUCGGCAUCUUCUUGGAGAGCGCAUCUGCACUUAACUGUGUGGAUCGUACUUCAAGUCAGUUACUUUGAGGAAUUGUGAGUUUUUCAAGCAGGCUUACGCCGUUGAAUCCGUUAGCAUGGAAUAAUAGAAUAGGACCUCGGUUCUAUUUCGUUGGUUUUGAGAGCUGGAGCAGCGAUUGAUAGGGGCGGAUGGGAGCGUCCGAACUUUACUGUCAGAGGUGAAAUUCUUAGAUCGGUCAAAGGCGAACUACUGCGAACGCAUUCGCCAAGAAUGUUUUCUUUAAUCAAGAACGAAAGUUAGGGGAUCGAAGACGAUCAGAUACCGUCCUAGUCUUAACCAUAAACGUUACUGACUAGAGAUUGGAGGUUGUGAUUCACAAACUCCAUCAGCACCUCUAUGUGUAAACAAAAUCUUUGAGUUCUGGGGGGAGUAUGGUCGCAAGACUGAAACUUAAAGGAAUUGGCGGAAGGGCACCACCAGGAGUGGAACCUGCGGCUUAAUUUGACUCAACACGGGGAAACUUACCAGAUCAAGACAUAGUAAGGAUUGGCAGAUUGAGAGUUCGCUCUCGAUUCUAUGGGUGGUGGUGCAUGGCCGUUCUUAGUUGGUGGAGUGAUUUGUCUGGUUAAUUUCGUUAACGAGCGAGACCUUAACUUGUUGAAUAUUGAAUCGUAACCUCGGUUA